UGCAUGGACAGAAUUUACUGGAAAGAGUCCCGUGUAUCAACACAGCCAAAUCCUGUUUGCACUGCCUGCGCACUGGGAUCAUUUCCCAUGCUCUCGGUUCACCAGCAAGCUGAGGUGGGGGUCAAAGGACUUGGCCCUGAGCUCCUACGAUCCGCUCGUCAUUCUUAGAUCAACCGUUCAGCUUUAGAACGGUCUGUCAGGGAAGACUGACUGCCGAGGGAUCGCCAAGGCUCAAGAAGGCCGUAGGACUUGAACCAGACUCUGGAUCCCUGCUGCUUACAGUUUUCUGAAGAAACAUUGAAAAACAGUCCGCUUUCACACUUCAGAGCAGAUUUCACACAAUACGUCGUGCCAGAGUCAUCGUACGAACAGCGUGACAGUGAAGUCUGGCUUCAUACAUUUCUCUAAGUGUUUGCCCAGAAGGCUAAACAAACGUCUAGGCAGAUGAGGUAGAAUGAAUUUAGGUCAGACAGCCUCUUUCUGAACGAAAGGCCACUCAUCUUUUUGUGGGUGCAGCACGGCUAAACUCCGAACACGACGCACUAUGCUCUAACAGGACAACUUUGCAUAGUGCUGGACGUAAGAAUGACUCAAAAGCUUUGCAUUCCACAAAUAAUGAUACUUAUUUGAAGACCGGUCUACAUAAAACAGAAAGCAGACUGUCUGGAUAAAAUGGUGAAAUGUGAAGAAAAAAAUGUGUGGAACAAACCAAUAUUCAUGCAGGAAAAAUCACAUGCGCUCUACGUACACUGUAAGCAUCAACUGCCAAUCCACGGCGCUCGAUGUGUAUUAAAGCAAAACACUCUGAAGUUACUGGAUGUCUUCUUUGAUAGGAGGCUUUAUCAAUUUUACAUGAUUCUCAGUUAGCUUGGCGGCAUGGAUUUGUUUUGCACAGAAUAUUAAAACACCUGUACCCUUCAAUGUCACUCUGCCAGCUGCAUUUACUUUAGAAACUGUAUCCAAAUAUCUUCUCAAAUCUAAAGAGUUUUAAAACCAAAAUGGCUUUAAUACUUAAUUCUCGUUAUAAAUAUACCAUACUGUAUUUCGCAUUAAACUUUUUGAUUAUCUGUCAGCACCAAAAUUCCGUUUUUAUUUAUGUACAUGUGACAGUUUCACAUUAGAGCGCCUGUCUGCGAUGUGAUAAUAUACAGACGCCUCCAGGGAAGAAAAAACAAAAAAAACUUGGAAAAUUGUGUGGAUCCAGAUCAUUAGGUCAUAAGGUGAAUUUAUAUUAGGAAAAAGCAAAGAAAACUAUGAACUCGCUGACUGUAGCUGAAAGGUCAAAGGUCACUAGGCUGCUCUGAAUAGAUAAAUCAUUGACUAAAAAUCUAUGCAUUUAUGUAAAAAUACUAAGGCUGUCAUUUUAUUACAAAUUUUAAGUUAAUUAACUGCAUGAUUAAUAUACGUAACACAUACACAUCUUGGUAAGUGUGGUUUGGCCUUUGUAUAUGGGUCAGAAGACAUGAAUAACUUAAUUUUUUAUCAUAUGUGAUCCCGGACCA